AGUGAACGCUGGCGGUAGGCCUAACACAUGCAAGUCGAACGGCAGCACAGUAAGAGCUUGCUCUUACGGGUGGCGAGUGGCGGACGGGUGAGGAGUACAUCGGAAUCUACUUUUUCGGGGGGGAUAACGUAGGGAAACUUACGCUAAUACCGAAUACGACCUACCGGUGAAAGCAGGGGAUCUUCGGACCUUUCGCGAUUGAAUGAGCCGAUGUCGGAUUAGCUAGUUGGCGGGGUAAAGGCCCACCAAGGCGACGAUCCGUAGCUGGUCUGAGAGGAUGAUCGGCCACACUGGAACUGAGACACGGUCCAGACUCCUACGGGAGGCAGCAGUGGGGAAUAUUGGACAAUGGGCGCAAGCCUGAUCCAGCCAUACCGCGUGGGUGAAGAAGGCCUUCGGGUUGUAAAGCCCUUUUGUUGGGAAAGAAAAGCAGCAGGUUAAUACCCCGCUGUUCUGACGGUACCCAAAGAAUAAGCACCGGCUAACUUCGUG
rnacentral:rRNA from 1 species